GAGAAAAGGCCAGCCCUAAUGGCACCCUGGGAAGGGCCGACCCCAGCCUCCCCCUCGCAGGGCCUGCAGGGCCUCCUCACCUUGAAGAGUUCAAAGAGCAUGUGGUAGAGGUGGGAGGGGACGAGACCAUAUGAAUGGGCUGUCUGCGCUGCUCACCAUUGACCUCCUGGAUCUCCAGGUUGGGCGGAGCCAUGUAGUACUUGUCACACAGGAGCUUGGCCAUGUCAUAGGCAUCUGAGAGGAGACAGCUCUCAGGGCACGGAGAGGGGUGCGCCCCCAGCAGGUGCCCCCAGCAGUGACACUGGCUAUGGCCAACAUCAAGCCCCUGGGGGUGUGGCCCCACCACUGGGGUGGCCCACCCUCUCCGGCCAGGGCAGCGUGGGGCUCCUCCUCUGUGGGGCACAGCGGGAAGGGUGCUCACCUUUCACCACCUCGGACGCGUUGCAGUUGGGGUCGAUGCUGCACGAUAAUGUGCUUGGGGUGGGCCGGGUUUGUGCUGCCUUGCAAAAAUGAGGGCUACGGGGACAAAGUGGGUGCUGCUGGCUGGGGCACAGCUGUCCCUGCACCCCUUUUCCCAGGCUGCCCUCCAGCUCCCUUCCUAAUGUGGCACAGCCUUCAGUCCUGCCGGCCAUCACUGGCUCAGGCCGUCUGGGGCCUUUGCGGGCUUGAGUAUACUGCUUUUUAAUUUAGGUUUGGCUUUGUUGUUUUAUACUGGGGAUUGACCCAGGGUCUUCAUAGUUAGCUACACCCCAAGACCAUUUUUAUUUUUAGUUCUGAGACAGGAGGUCACUAAGUCACUGAGUUGUCCAGGCUGGGCUUGAACUUUCGAUCCUCCUGCCUCAGCCUCCCAGAGUGUGGGAUAAUAGGCACUGCACAGUUUUAUCACUCUUAAAAACUUUUUUUUUUUUUGGUACCAGGGAUCAAACUCAGGUCCUUGCGCUUAGGAGGCAGGCGGCAAAACCUGAGCUAAAUCCCCUGAGCUAAAUCCCGACCCCUUAAAAAACUUAUUACAUUCCAAACAUUUGUUAUUUAGUUUCUCUUCCCAGGAGGAUUCGCUGUGAUUAUUGACAAAUCACAGCCAUCAUAAAGUGAGUUCUUUGGGCCAGGGAUUUAGCUCAGUGGUUUCACUGCCUGUUGUUAAGCGCAAGGACCCAAGUUCAAUCCCCGGUACCAAAAAAAACCAAAAACGUGAGUUCUUCCUGCUCAAAUAACUCCAAAGGAAGACAUUUGGAGGUCAUGACUCUGUGAGAGCAAGUGACAGGGGUCCUGAGCAGCCGCCCCCUGACCCCGCCUCACUGUGCUGGUUGAUGAGCAUGCGGAUGGAGAUGCGGCUAAGGUAGAAGCGGUCCAGGAAGUACUGGAUGUUCUGGUUGGAGACAGGGUCGUCACCGUAGGUGUCCUUGUACUCCAGCACGCCCUGGGCCAUGGUGGGCACCACAUCGUUGUGCCUGUUCCGGAUGGUGACCAGGGCCUCUGUGAACCUGCAGGGAGGGCAGACAUUCACUCGGCCAGGCCCCAGCCCCGACUCUUCCAGUUGUUUUGUUUUCCUUACUGGAGAUUGAACCCAGGGCCUUCGCCCUGAGCUACAGUGCUUGGUUGCCCCUGCUCUGCCCCAGGGCUGCGACCCCUGUUGCCUUCCUGCCCGCCAAGGCCUCACUCACUGACUCAGGGUGCGGUGGUCCUCAGGGUCCUUGUCCAGGAACUCCAUGAUGUCCAGCAGACUCUGCACGUACCUGGCAGGGCAGGGAGGGGAUUCGGGCUCAGCUGUGUGAUGGGCCACAGUCCUCAUUGCCCCUUGCUGGACCUCACUGUGUUCUGUUCCCACUGUGGGUGACACACGGAACUGGGCCUGGUGACAGCUGCGCCAUGCUCUCCCCCGGCUGUGUC
rnacentral:lncRNA from 1 species